rnacentral:tRNA from 1 species
GGUGGCUCAGUGGUUAAAGCACUUGGCUGCAAACGAAAAGGUUGGUGGUUCAAACCCACCAGCCA